UGUCACGAGUUUGAUCCUGGCUCAGAACGAACGCUGGCGGCAUGCCUAACACAUGCAAGUCGAACGAGAUCUUCGGGUCUAGUGGCGCACGGGUGCGUAACGCGUGGGAAUCUGCCCUUGGGUUCGGAAUAACUUCGGGAAACUGAAGCUAAUACCGGAUGAUGACGUAAGUCCAAAGAUUUAUCGCCCAAGGAUGAGCCCGCGUAGGAUUAGCUAGUUGGUGAGGUAAAGGCUCACCAAGGCGACGAUCCUUAGCUGGUCUGAGAGGAUGAUCAGCCACACUGGGACUGAGACACGGCCCAGACUCCUACGGGAGGCAGCAGUGGGAAUAUUGGACAAUGGGCGAAAGCCUGAUCCAGCAAUGCCGCGUGAGUGAUGAAGGCCUUAGGGUUGUAAAGCUCUUUUGCCCGGGAUGAUAAUGACAGUACCGGGAGAAUAAGCUCCGGCUAACUCCGUG
rnacentral:rRNA from 1 species